AGGGAGGUGCUGGUUUUGGGGCUGGCGCCGUCUUCCGAGUACACAUUUUUGGUGUAUGCUUCUCCAGUUGGAAACUAUUUCAAGGAAGAGACUGUGCCGAUCAGCUUGUACGUUGAGGAUGAGUUCCAUCGCGCUGGCCGCGAUGGUUCUGGAGGUGUGAAGAGCGUCACGAAUUAUGUGCCGGUGAGGUCAUGAACUGCUAGUAAUCAUGGAGAGCAAGAACUACCAAGCAAGCCACUAUGCCACUCAGGGCGAUGAGCAGACGUUGCUCCAGCGCCUGCAUCAAGAGCUUUACAAUCUCAAGUUUCU